UUUAUUGUCUGUUAAUUCUAUCCGAGGUAUCCUCCACCGAAGCCAGAGCCAGCGUUCUGUCCGAAUGUCGAUUGCCCGUACCCUCCCUGCUGACCAGCAGCUCCUUUUCCGAACCCGGUAGAACCCUGGUUAUGACCGGAACCGAAGUUCUUGCUGUCGCUGGCCGAGAAUCCCGAAGUGUGGCUGUACCCCUGGUUGUUGUUGUAGGCGUUCACGUUCCUGUUGGCAGCACCACCGCCAAAGCCCAAGGAUCCCUGGUUGAGACCGGUAGCACCACCCUGGUAACCACCCUGCUGGCCGCCAGCCGAAGAGCCGUAUCCGGACUGGAAUC